AACGUAGGUGGCGAGCGUUAUCCGGAUUUACUGGGCGUAAAGGGUGUGCAGGCGGGGCACUAAGUGGGGUGUGAAAUCGCCCGGCUCAACCGGGCGGGGUUAUGCCAGACUGGUGGUCUAGAGAGCGAGAGAGGGACGUGGAAUUCCGGGUGUAGUGGUGAAAUGCGUAGAUAUUGGGAGGAACACCAGUGGCGAAGGCGGCUCACUGGACCGGAACUGACGCUGAGGCGCGAAAGCGUGGGGAGCAAACAGG
rnacentral:rRNA from 1 species